rnacentral:rRNA from 1 species
GACGAACGCUGGCGGCGUGCUUAACACAUGCAAGUCGAACGAUGAUGCCAGCUUGCUGGUGGAUUAGUGGCGAACGGGUGAGUAACACGUGGGUGAUCUGCCCCGAACUUUGGGAUAAGCCUGGGAAACUGGGUCUAAUACCGGAUAGUACCUUCCCUUGCAUGGGGGUUGGUGGAAAGCUCCGGCGGUUUGGGAUGGGCCCGCGGCCUAUCAGCUUGUUGGUGGGGUAAUGGCCUACCAAGGCGACGACGGGUAGCCGGCCUGAGAGGGCGACCGGCCACACUGGGAUUGAGACACGGCCCAGACUCCUACGGGAGGCAGCAGUGGGGAAUAUUGCACAAUGGGCGCAAGCCUGAUGCAGCGACGCCGCGUGAGGGAUGACGGCCUUCGGGUUGUAAACCUCUUUCACCAGGGACGAAGCGUGAGUGACGGUACCUGGAGAAGAAGCACCGGCCAACUACGUG